GCCACAGACAAGCGGCAAGCCACGGCCUCUUCCCAAACAGCAGACAGGCAGGCACACGAACCCCAGGGCAACCCAUCGUCACUCAAGAGGAAGAGGCCACACCUAGCCCAGCAGCGCUGAUGAGCCCCAGGCUCCGCCCCCCGGGGGAGCCUGACCCCGCCCACCUGACUGUGCAUGCGCAAAGGUGCCUUUCUCAGCACUCCGCAGACAAGCCGGCACGGGAAGCACCAGGCAACCCAGCAUCACUCAAGCGUAGAAGGCCACACCUGGCCUGGCAACGCUGAUGAGGCCCAGGCUCCAUCCCCGUGGGGAGCCUGACCACGCCCACCCAACUACGCAUGCGCAAUGGUGGAUAGCUCAACACGAGACAGCAGCGAGCUGCAGCCUCUACCAAACAGCUGUCAGGCCAGAGCGCGAAGCCCUGGGCAACCCACCAUCACUCAAGGGGAAAAGGCCAUACCUGGCCCGGCAGCGCUGAUGAGACCCAGGCUCUGCCCCCAGGGGUGCCUGACACCGCCCACCCGACUGCGCAUGUGCAAAGCAGACAGGUCUGCCCGUGAAGGCCCGGGCAACCCAGCAUCACUCAAGGGAAAGUGACCACACCUGGCCCAGCAGCGCUGAUGAGCCCCAGGCUCCACCCCCGAGGGAGCCUGACACUGCCCAACCGACUGCGCAUGUGCAAAGUUGCAUUUCUCAGCACUGCCGGAAGGGGGAGCUGGUGGGAGGGUUUCUGGGGCCCUCUUCCCCCUUGGGGGUCCGGGAACUUCUUUCCCCAUGGGGGAACGGGGCCAUAUUCCACUUGGGGAAACGGGACCUUAUUGCACCUUGGGGACACCUGCACCCUCCACUCUAACACACACACACGGGGGCAGGCUAUGUGCCCCAAGACGCCCUCAGCAGAGGGGCGGGUUCAGUGUCAUGGAGAGCACCCACUGUAGUCCAGACAAGCGGCGAACCGCGGCCUCUUCCCAAACAGCAGACUGGCCGGCGAGGGAAGCCACGGGCAACCCAUCGUCACUCAAGCGGAGAAGGCCACAUCUGGAUCGGCAGCGCUGAUGAGCCCCAGACUCCGUCCCGGGGAGAGCCUGACCCCGCCCACCCGACUGAGCAAGGGCAACAGUGCAUUUCUCAGCACUGCCUGCAGGGGCCGCUGGAGGGAGGGGUUGGGUACUGGUGGGAGGUGUUUUGGGGCACUCUUUCCCCUUGGGGGUCCGGGCCCGAAAUCCCAUUGCGGGUAUGAGUACCUGUACUCCCUUGAGGGAACGGGGCCCUCUUCCCCCUUGGAGACACCUGCGCCCUCAGCUCACACUCACACCCUCAGGGGCAGACUGCAUGCCCCGGAGAUGCCCUAGGCAGAGGGGCGGGGUCACUGUCAGGGAGGACACCACCUGUAGCCACAGACAAGCAGCGAGCCGUGGCAUCUUCCCAAACAGCAGACUGGUCGACGCGUGAAGCCCUGGGCAACCCUCCAUCACUUUAGGGGAAAUGGCCUCCCUUGGCCCAGGAGCGCUGAUGAGCCCCAGGCUCCGACCCCCGGGGUAGCCUGACCCCGCCCACCCGACUACGCAUGCCCAAAGGUGCAUUUCUCAGAGCCGCCAGUAGGGGGCGCUCUUGGACGGCGAGAGGGGCCCUAAGCCCCCUUGGGUGUUGGGGGCCCGAAAUCCCCUUGAGCGUACAUGGACCUGAACUCCUUUGAGGGAAUGGUGCCAUCUUCCCCCUUGUAGACACCUGCGCCCUCAGCUCUCAGUCACACACUAAGGGGCAGGCUGUGCACACCGGAGACGACCUAGGCAGAGGGGCAGGGUCACUGUCAGGGAGCACACCCCCGUAGCCAUAGACAAGCGGCAAACUGUGGCCUAAUUCCCUAACAGCAGACAGGCCGGUGUGAGAAGCCCUGGGCAACCCACCAUAACUCAAGUGGAGAAGGCCACACCUGGCCCGGCAGCACUGAUGAGCCACAGGCUAUGUCCCAGGUGGGAUCCUGACCCCGCCCAAGCGACUGUGCAUGUGCAAAGGUGCAUUUCUCAGAGCCGCCGGUAGGGGGCGCUCGUGAGGGGGCGUCAGAGGCGCUAAGCCCCCUUCGAGGUCUGGGGCCUGAAAUCCCCUUGAGGAUACGUGGACCUGUACUCCCUUGAGGGAAUGGGGCCCUCUUCCCCCUUGCAGGAACGGGACCCUCUUGCCCUUUGGGGACACCUGCACCCUCCGCUCUCACUCACACCCACGGGGGAAGGCUGUGUGCCCCAAGAUGCCCUAGGCGGUGGGGCGGGGUCACUGUCAGGGAGGACAACCCCUGUUGCCCAGAUAAGCGGUGACCACGGCCUCUUCCCAAGUAGCAGACAGGCGUGCCUGUGAAGGCCCAGGCAACCCAGCAUCACUCAAGGGGAAGAGGCCACA